GACGAACGCUGGCGGCGUGCUUAACACAUGCAAGUCGAACGGAAAGGCCCUGCUUUUGUGGGGUGCUCGAGUGGCGAACGGGUGAGUAACACGUGAGUAACCUGCCCUUGACUUGGGGAUAACUUCAGGAAACUGGGGCUAAUACCGGAUAGGAGCUCCUGCUGCAUGGUGGGGGUUGGAAAGUUUCGGCGGUUGGGGAUGGACUCGCGGCUUAUCAGCUUGUUGGUGGGGUAGUGGCUUACCAAGGCUUUGACGGGUAGCCGACCUGAGAGGGUGACCGGCCACAUUGGGACUGAGAUACGGCGCAGACUCCUACGGGAGGCAGCAGUGGGGAAUAUUGCACAAUGGGCGGAAGCCUGAUGCAGAAACGCCGCGUGCGGGAUGACGGCCUUCGGGUUGUAAACCGCUUUCGCCUGUGACGAAGCGUGAGUGACGGUAAUGGGUAAAGAAGCACCGGCUAACUACGUG
rnacentral:rRNA from 1 species